UAUAGAGGUCUCAAGCGUUGUUCGGAUUCAUUGGGCGUAAAGAGCUCGUAGGCGGUUUGUUGCGUCGGCUGUGAAAUCCCGAGGCUCAACCUCGGGUCUGCAGUCGAUACGAGCAAACUAGAGUGUUGCAGGGGAGACUGGAAUUCCUGGUGUAGCGGUGAAAUGCGUAGAGAUCGGGAGGAACACCGGCGGCGAAGGCGGCGACCUGGACAAUUACUGACACUCAACUACGAAAGCGUGGGGAGCAAACAGG
rnacentral:rRNA from 1 species